rnacentral:sRNA from 1 species
GGUAAAUGCACAACCCGGACGGAAGUGUCUCUCCGACACCAGAUCCGGGCUCGGAGCUCCAGACGCUGGGACAGGCCGCCCGCAGACCACCCCCGCCGCGCGCGGGACACGACGCCCCCCGCAGGACCCGCCCAUCAGCCCGGAAACCCCCGAGCUGCUUCUUCCGGAGGCUGAUGCCCACCCGGGAGCCCCCAAAGACUCGCGGCUCCCGGGGGCACCUGCAGACUCACCCGCCUGGGCCUGGACCCCCGGUGAGCCUGACCGGGAGGGGGUCCCCAGGCCGGGCCUCUAGGCAAAAGAUUUAGUCCCCCCAGUUUGAGGGACUCCGGUUUCCCGGCACCCCGAUUUAACUCCAAACCAUAAUUCCUGUGGCAGCUGCAGGGACUGGCGCCCCGAGGCCUCAAAACCAGCGCCCCCCGCCCUCCGUGCCAGCCCCAGCCGGGACCCCACAAGGCAAAGACCAAGAAGAUUGUGUUUGAGGAUGAGUUGCUCUCCCAGGCCCUCCUGGGCGCCAAGAAGCCUAUUGGAGCCAUCCCUAAGGGGCAUAAGCCUAGGCCCCACCCAGUGCCCGACUAUGAGCUUAAGUACCCACCGGUGAGCAGUGAGAGGGAACGGAGCUGCUAUGCUGCAGUGUUCCAGGACCAGUACGGAGAGUUCUUGGAGCUCCAGCACGAGGUGGGGUGUGCACAGGCAAAGCUCAGGCAGCUGGAAGCCCUGCUGAGCUCCCUGCCCCCACCCCAAAGCCAGAAGGAGGCCCAAGUUGCAGCCCGGGUUUGGAGGGAGUUUGAGACGAAGCGAAGGGAUCCUGGCUUCCUGGAUAAGCAGGCUCGCUGCCACUACCUGAAGGGUAAACUGAGGCAUCUCAAGACUCAGAUCCAGAAAUUCGAUGACUGAGGAGACAGCGAGGGCUCCGUGUACUUCUAAGUGCCCCUGCAGAUGGGCAGAGGGAUGCAUGCGGAUGCAGGUCCCUUGCAUUUCUUGGUAUCUCUCAGCCUUUCCUCUUGCAGCUCCCCCUACCAGGGGUCGCUUUCUCCUGGAUUGCAAAUGCCUCUUCAGUUUGGACUCAGCUCUGACAGCCCCUCCUCCAGGAAGGCCUUCCAGGACUUCCUCCUCUGGGUCCUCUAGCUCUGACCCUAUAGGGACUCCAGAUCUCAACCUGUUCCCUGGAAGUAGGGCCUGCUCUCCAUCCCAGUGAAAUAAA